rnacentral:rRNA from 1 species
CCUACGGGAGGCAGCAGUGGGGAAUAUUGCACAAUGGGGGGAACCCUGAUGCAGCGACGCCGCGUGAGCGAUGAAGUAUUUCGGUAUGUAAAGCUCUAUCAGCAGGGAAGAAAAUGACGGUACCUGACUAAGAAGCCCCGGCUAACUACGUGCCAGCAGCCGCGGUAAUACGUAGGGGGCAAGCGUUAUCCGGAUUGACUGGGUGUAAAGGGAGCGUAGACGGCUGUGCAAGUCUGGUGUGAAAGGUAUGGGCUCAACCUGGGGCUUGCUUUUGAAACUGGGCGGCUUGAGUGCCGGAGAGGCAAGUGGAAUUCCUAGUGUAGCGGUGAAAUGCGUAGAUAUUAGGAGGAACCCCAGUGGCGAAGGCGGCUUGCUGGACGAGGACUGACGUUGAGGCUCGAAAGCGUGGGGAGCAAACAGGAUUAGAUACCCGAGUAGUC